CAGCUAAAUCUGACAAGGUCAGCAUUUUUCUGUUUAUUCUGAGAAUAGUAUUUACCCUCUGGGGUUUUUAAAAGCAAUUCUGUAAAACAUCACUUGGAAAAAGUUUGCAGCAUUCAUAGACACACAAGCUCGGUGCCCAACAAAUACCAACUUUUAACUCUGACUGUGGAACUCAGGACAAAGCCAACUUUUUUUCUUCAAAGAAAAAGAUGUCUGAACAAUGUAACAACCUUUUCAAGAAAAGCUAACGUAUUUCAUUCCAAACACUUUGUCAACCUAAUAGUAGUUAGUAUAAUCUAUUUCAGCUGUGUCAAAUUCACUUAUAAUGAUACGGGACAUACUAUAGGAUCAAUUAGUUCCUAGAAUAUCUUUAUUGUUGUGUGUACAGCUGUGGUGUUACUUUUUCUUCAAAAAGAUGUGUAUUGCAAUGACUUUCAAUCAAAAUGGAAAACAAUCCUGUAAUCCUUAGAGUGUGCAAAUGAUUUCUUCCCAGAUAGAACCAGUGACACAAAAGCAGAGUGUCACACAUAUUCUCUAAGUGAUAUUAAAGUUCCACAAACCAUUUAAACAACUUGGACCAUCUCAUGGGAUCUGCAGAAGAAGAUACGCCUCCCCUGGAACACCAAGGAGACGGAGCUCUGCUAAAUUCAGGGGAGACAAGUGAGGAUGGAAUGAAGUGGACCAGGAGAGCUGCCACUUUUUAAAGCAUUGUCCCCCUGUAGAAUGUGAGGAUUUCCAUGCAUAAAUCAAGUAGUGAGUACCACAUUCUUCAGACAGAGGUUUGAAGACCUUCUCUGAAUGAACAAUGAUGCAAUGACAUACCAUUGCCAGAAGUUUCUUCAUACACCCAAGCAAGUGGUGGUUGGUUUAUGUCCUGAAGAAUUGAAAUGCUGAAGAUAUUAUAAAACAGUUUAGCACUCACUUCAACUUCCAAGGACUAUAAACAUCAAGAAACCAAACAAAUUUGGAAGUCUGAGACAGCUGAAAAUGUGAAGAGGACAAGAUGCCACUUUCUUAACAAUUCCAUAUUGUAAAGGAAUGAGCACUGGACUGGGAACCCAGAACAAUGGAAUUCUAAUCCUAUUUCUAACACUGACAUGCCUUACUGAUACUUUAUACUCAUCUAUCACUUUACAAACUUCUUAAAAAAACGAUAGCAUUCAACUAAGGUUUUAGUCCCUUAAAUUAUUUAUAUGUAUCUCAACCUUAAUUCUAUUUUAUCAAUGUUUUUUUUGAAUAAGAAUACUUUCCUUAGCAAGACAGAGCAGCACUUUGUAAGGAGCAUGCAAUCUGACGACAAUGCAAUGUUGGUCCUUUUUUUUUAUGUCAUUAUUCUGCUGUGGUGAUGGUCACUGAGAAAUAACUGAAUGACUGAGUAUGGUAAGGAAAUGUUUUCAGGGAUUGCUUCUUCCAACAUGAUUACGAUGGGUCUAUACUGGGCAUGUACCCAGUAUAGACCCAUUGUAAUCGUGUUGGGAGACGUACCCAUUGGCCACCACCCCUUGUGCUGCCCUAACUGCCUACUACACUCCAACCAUUCCUUCAGAGAAAGAUGUUUCUGAUCUAGGCUUCAAAUUUUGCUUGGAGUUGUGGAUUUUUCCUGUGGUGUGUUUCACUUUCAGGAUCCCCUCUGCAAUAUAAAUGUGAUGUUUGUGCUCCACUUCGGACCUUGCAUAUCCACAGAGGGUGACAGAGAAUUUAACUCUACCUGAAAUUUUCCACUGAAAAUAGCUGUAAAUACAGCAUUAAGACUAAAAAAUAUUCCAUGAGUUUUAUGAAGGAUGGAGAGGAAGAAUGGUUUUGUGAAUAGGGCAUGAGACCUGGUUCAGUUCCUGACACAGACUUCCGAUGUGACCUUGAGUGAGUCACUCAAUCUAUCCAGUGCCUUUGUUCCUUAUCUAUAAAAGGAUGAUAGUACUUCCCUACCUUAAAGGAAUGUUGUGAGGAUAAAAUCAAUGAACAAUUGUGAGGUGCUUCAAUACUAUGGGGAUGAGGUCCACAUAAGAACCUACGUAGUGAAAUAGAAUUGGAACAGUUUCAACUUUCAGCAGACCCAGUGAGGGCCAGCUGGUUUAUUUGACAUACCUGGUAAUGGGAUCUGGUACAAAUGGAACAUUUUAAAAAAAAAAUCUUAAAUCUUUGGGAGCUCUGGGUCUUGUUUUAGCCUGUAACUAACUCCAGUUGCAGGAAGUGUACAGUGAAAGAUCAAAGUAAGAAACACUAAGUAAGCUUGUUGAAAUGAAGUGUUACUGGCAUAUGUUCUUCAUCUCACGAGAUCAUUGACUGCGUGCUUUAACAGCUGGGAUAGAAGACAAAUGUUUUAGGCAGAUUCAACAGAAAAGCCUGUACUUUAUUCAGUCAGCACAGAGCUUACCUCUUAUUGAAAGACAGUAGCAAUUCUGAGGAUGCAUUUUUACAGGACCAGCAAUAUAAAUAGUUUACUCCCAAAAACUAUUUUUAUAGGCCAUAUUUUAUCAAUUAUAUUGGGGAGAUGAGAAGCUGCACAGUUCCAGAAGAAGCUCCAGGAACCACGAUCCCUUCCCUAUUCACUCGCAUGAAUGGAAACUUGUGUGGUGCACCAUGCUUUGGCCACAGCCAGCCUAUUCUGUGAGGUACUGUUGGGGCCAUGGUCCUGCAUUUUUCCUGGCCCCUUUGAGCCCCUAGGGAUAUAUGGAGGGAGCAAUUGCAGAGAGUGCAAUUGUCCUUAGCCUUGUAGAGAGUGCAACCACAUCAGCCCAACCCCGCACAUCUGCAUUAUGUCUACUGACAAGCUGGCUCGGUGUUAACAUACUUGAUGCAUCCCAGUGAAUGUAGUCACCAGUUCCACUAGUGAUUAUCUGAUCUGAAAUAAAAACAAAUUAGGCUGAUCCAUGCUCAAAUUUAAAUUGAUAAUUAGUCUCCUUAAUCAUGAAAGACAGCAUGGUUUAGUGGAUUAGGCCUGGGAGUUAGGAAACUUGGGUUCUAUUUCUGAUUUUGCCACUGACUUCCUAUAUGACCUCAGACAAGUAACUUCACUUCUGUUUCCUUGCUCACCUUGUGUCUGUCUUGGCUAUUUAGAGUGUAAGCACUUCAUUAGAAGGGACAGUCUUCCACUAGGGGCUUUUCGAUACACAGUUUUUGUACCACUUUAACUAAAUUAGGUUUUUUUAAAUGAUUUAAUUCAAUCAGGGCACCUUUCUAAUCAGGCUGCACUUGUUCUGGUAUCAAGGUUUUUUAUAUUGUUAUAGCUUGUUGCAGUAAAUGGCAUUUAAAUAUGUUUGUACAGUGCCUAGCACAAUAAUGCCCUAUAUCAGCAAGGCCCAUAAGUGCUACUGUAAUAUACAUAAUUGCUAACAGUAUCCAUUAAUCACUAUCAUGCAGUGACAUUUAGAGGGGUGUGUGUGUUAUAAUAUAGAGCUGCUUUUGCGUUUGUAUUUUUUUCUGGACUUUACUAUCUUGGAAAUACAGUGCAAUGGCAGGAAGGAUUUUAAAGUGCAAAUGCCUGUAUUUUGUAUGGUUAAUUUCUGUACACUGUGAAAUCCCCAGUUAGAAGCCAUACUACUGAUUGGGGCUUUAAUAUAAACGUACAGGUGAAUAUAAAGAAGGUUAGAUAAGACAGAAAUUGUGGAAGCAAAUACAGUCCAGGUAUUUAGAAGAUCAGAGAGUAGCUCAUGCUGUGUUGUAAUAUCUUUCUGACUUUUUUGCGGAUCCUCCAGACUAUUAUUUGACAGCUUAGCUUCUCACCAAGUAAUAUUAAUCACUUCUUAAUCAAGGUUAACUGGUUUUCCACUUAAGACUAAAGAGAACUGUUUAACAAUGUAGCAUUUUCAGAAAUGGUUGAACAAUUCUUUGGUGGAAGCUGUAGGGGUGAAUCUUUAUUUAUCUAAAGAAUUAGAAUGUUUUCUGCAAGCAAGGAACAUUUCCUAUCCCCAAAUUCCAACCCUUCCGAGCCUGCCUGAAAUUAAAAUCUAAUCACUGAGACUCAGCACACUAAGUACUUUCAUUUCAGGCUGAAUGCAUUGCAACAUGUAAAUUUGAGGAGAGUUUUAUUUAAAUGAAGUCUAAAUCCUAGUUUAAAAACAAUUCUGUUACCAUAGCUAAUUGCUGCAUGUGACUAGCGCUGUUAGUUUGUUCUUUAUGUCUUUUGGUUUGGCCUCUCACUGUACAGUUUGUGAUUUGGCAGUACUGUACCUACAGUGCUGCCAACAAAUCAGCCCCAUUUACUUCUUGAUUUUUGAAGUGAAUCUGUAUUUAGUGAAUUUCUAGAAGAAAUCUAAUCAUUUUCAUGUCCCUAAGAGCUACUUUGCCAGUAGUGGUUGUAUGAAAACGUCUGCACCUCCAAAACUAGGUAACUUUAUAACUUGCAAAUAGCAGAAAUGCUAAUGUCUGUUUUCUACAUUUGCAUAUUUUCAAAGCAUAUGUUUAUAAAGCAAUAUUUGUAUCAGAUAUUUGCUCACUGACAUUUUAGCACCUAACACACAGUUUAUUGUAUCCUUCCUCUUCAAAUGUUAUAAGUAAUACACAAUAUUCUAUGUUA